AUGGCUCUUUGAAAAUAAACUAUAAAGAGUCUGGCCUGCCCAGUGAUUAAUUUAACGGCCGCGGUACUCUGACCGUGCGAAGGUAGCAUAAUCAUUUGUCUUAUAAUUGAAGUCUAGAAUGAAUGGCUUGACAAGAGUAAAGCUGUCUCUAAUUAUAUAUUAGAACUUUAUUAUUAAGUUAAAAAGCUUAAAUUUAAUUAAAAGACGAGAAGACCCUAUCGAGCUUAAGGACUCUUUUAAAAUUUUUUACAUUUAUGUAGACCUAAUAUUUAUUUUAACUUUAGUUGGGGCGACUCGAGAACAUAUAAAGCUUCUUGUAUAAAUAAUAAAACUUAUAAGUAAUGAUCCAUAAAUCUUGAUCAAAAGAAUUAGUUACCGUAGGGAUAACAGCAUUAUCUUUUUUGAGAGCUCAAAUCGAAAAAAAUGUUUGUGACCUCGAUGUUGGACCAAGAUUUCCUGAAGAUGUAGAAGUCUUUAAAGGUUGGUCUGUUCGACCAUUAAAAUCUUACGUGAAUCUGAGUUCAGACCGG
rnacentral:rRNA from 1 species